GUGGGGAAUUUUGGACAAUGGGCGCAAGCCUGAUCCAGCAAUGCCGCGUGCAGGAAGAAGGCCUUCGGGUUGUAAACUGCUUUUGUACGGAACGAAAAGGUCUGGGUUAAUACCCUGGGCUCAUGACGGUACCGUAAGAAUAAGCACCGGCUAACUACGUGCCAGCAGCCGCGGUAAUACGUAGGGUGCGAGCGUUAAUCGGAAUUACUGGGCGUAAAGCGUGCGCAGGCGGUUUUGUAAGACAGGCGUGAAAUCCCCGGGCUCAACCUGGGAAUGGCGCUUGUGACUGCAAAGCUGGAGUGCGGCAGAGGGGGAUGGAAUUCCGCGUGUAGCAGUGAAAUGCGUAGAUAUGCGGAGGAACACCGAUGGCGAAGGCAAUCCCCUGGGCCUGCACUGACGCUCAUGCACGAAAGCGUGGGGAGCAAACAGGAUUAGAAACCCCGGUAGUCC
rnacentral:rRNA from 1 species